UUAUAAGAGACAGCAGUAGCCACGGUAAUACGUAGGGUGCAAGCGUUAAUCGGAAUUACUGGGCGUAAAGCGUGCGCAGGCGGUUAUAUAAGACAGAUGUGAAAUCCCCGGGCUCAACCUGGGAACUGCAUUUGUGACUGUAUAGCUAGAGUACGGCAGAGGGUGAUGGAAUUCCGCGUGUAGCAGUGAAAUGCGUAGAUAUGCGGAGGAACACCGAUGGCGAAGGCAAUCACCUGGGCCUGUACUGACGCUCAUGCACGAAAGCGUGGGGAGCAAACAGGAUUAGAUACCCCUGUAGUCCCUGUCUCUUAUAC
rnacentral:rRNA from 1 species